rnacentral:rRNA from 1 species
CCUACGGGAGGCAGCAGUGGGGAAUAUUGCACAAUGGGGGAAACCCUGAUGCAGCGACGCCGCGUGAGUGAAGAAGUAAUUCGUUAUGUAAAGCUCUAUCAGCAGGGAAGAAAAUGACGGUACCUGAGUAAGAAGCCCCGGCUAACUACGUGACAGCAGCCGCGGGAAUACGUAGGGGGCAAGCGUUAUCCGGAUUUACUGGGUGUAAAGGGAGCGUAGACGGCAGUGCAAGUCUGGAGUGAAAGUCGGGGGCUAAACCCCCGGACCGCUCUGGAAACUGUACGGCUUGAGUGCAGGAGAGGUAAGAGGAAUUCCUAGUGUAGCGGUGAAAUGCGUAGAUAUGAGGAGGAACACCAGUGGCGAAGGCGGCUUACUGGACUGUAACUGACGUUGAGGCUCGAAAGCGUGGGGAGCAAACAGGAUUAGAUACCCGGGUAGUC